GGUGAAAUGGCCGAGCUAUAGGCGUUAAAUUGUAAAUUUAAGCACGAAAUAUUUUUCUUUCACCA
rnacentral:tRNA from 1 species